UGGGGAAUAUUGGACAAUGGGGGCAACCCUGAUCCAGCAAUGCCGCGUGUGUGAAGAAGGCCUUCGGGUUGUAAAGCACUUUCGGUGGGGAAAAAAAUAUUCGACCUAACACGUCGAGUUUUGAUGGUACCCAAAGAAGAAGCACCGGCUAACUCUGUGCCAGCAGCCGCGGUAAUACAGAGGGUGCAAGCGUUAAUCGGAAUUACUGGGCGUAAAGCGUGCGUAGGUGGUUCGCUAAGUCAGGUGCGAAAUCCCCGGGCUCAACCUGGGAACUGCAUUUGAUACUGGCGAACUAGAGUGUGGUAGAGGGUAGUGGAAUUCCCGGUGUAGCGGUGAAAUGCGUAGAUAUCGGGAGGAACAUCAGUGGCGAAGGCGGCUACCUGGACUAACACUGACACUGAGGUACGAAAGCGUGGGGAGCAAACAG
rnacentral:rRNA from 1 species